CGCCUUUGUGUUGCCCUCUCAUUGAUAUCGUAAUGAACGGGGUGUCAACUAAGGCGUACAGUGACCCCCUCUGGUUGUGACAGAAAUUCAUCUCCACUGAUCCAUUUCUACACUGAACCACAGGCACAAAC
rnacentral:snoRNA from 1 species